AUGCAAAUGGGGCAGCUUGCUAUAAAAAGCGGCGCGCCGCUACCUUUCCGUGCAGCCAGGUAUCGAUUUUUCCUUGCAUAUCUCCAGCCGGCGGCUACGGCGUGGCGGGGACACCUCUGCCGGCCUGGGAGCCCCCCUCCCAGAGAGCCUGCAUCUAUCGGGCAUCUUUCGGGGUCCCAGCCCCCGAAAUGGCCCCAUCCCCUCCUCUCCUCCCUUGCUGCCAGCUGUGCCCGUGCUGCUCCUGCUGCUGCUCCUGCUCCCCACGCAGGGAGCAGCGAGGAGGGGCCCCGGGGGGGCAGGCGCUGUGGCAGCAUCUCUGCAGCUCCCCGGGUGCCGCCGCCCCCCGGUUCCAGCCUCCCGCGGAGGAGCAGGGUCCUGCCGGGCCGGGGAGGCGGAGGGUCUGGCAGAGCCCACCCGGCAUCUCCGCUGGGCGUCCCGCCGCCGGUGCCCGGUUGUUCUCCGCGGGAGCCACCAGGAGGAGCCUUCAGACCGCGCCCGGUGCCCCAGGCGCAUCCCGCUGCUCCCGGCGCUGCUGGGGAUCCCAGUGCUCCCAGCGCGUCCCGCUGCUCCCAGUGCGUCCCGCUGCUCCCAGUGCGUCCGGGUGCUCCCAGUGCGGUCUGCUGCUCCUUAGAGCACCCCAGGGCUCCCAGAGCUCCAAACGCUCCUGGUGGUCUCAGCGCCUCCUGGUGCUCUCGGGGUUCCUUGUGCUCCCGGUGUGUCCCAGUGCUCCCAGUUCACCUCGGCCCUUCACACUGGUCCCUGGUUCUGCCCUCCCAGGGGUGCUGGCAAGGCCACAGCACCCAGCAGCACUCCAGCCCCAUUCCCACUCUCACCCCCCAAGACCCCACAUCCCACUCGGCUGUCCCAUGGGAAGCCACCGGGAAGGGCCAGAUUCAGACCAGAGCUUUCCCAGAGCCCUCUGGCGGUCCCCAGAGGACCUGGGGGGCUGCUGCUGUGGGUCUGAUUCCCGAGGUGGCAGGACAGCAGUGGGAUGUGGGGCAUCGCCAUCGGGCGGGUGGGUAUGAGGGAGAUGAGUAUGAGGGAGCAGCACCUUCAUCCUCACACACUUCUGGGCAGGGAUGUGCAUGGUGCUGGAGACGGAUGCUGUGCUGCUGGGCAAGGCUCCUGCAGGCACUGGGGUUUGAGGCAGCAUGGACUUCUCCCCUGCUGUCGGGGCGGGUUGCUCCCAGCAGCCCCGCACCAUCCUCGCCUCUGGGGCUGGGGGCGUCCGAUUCCUCCCGCCACCCCCCGUAA
rnacentral:lncRNA from 1 species